rnacentral:rRNA from 1 species
GUGUGGGUGUGGUUGAAAGGGGCAGACAGAAAGAAGAGCCGCUUCCGCUUGCUGCUUGGGAUCGGCGCGCUCCUUGCGGUUCUAGGGGUUCCGGCCGCUGCUACCGCCGCCAAGCCACGCGCCGCUCCUCCGAGCCGCCGAGAGACGAGGUCGCUUGCGUCCGCCGCCAGCGCCUCCUCCCUGCGGACGAGCACGGUUCGUCCGAGUACGCGAGGGCGGUCGAGAGGUGGUUCCAGAGGCCGCUCGCUAGCGUCCACCGCCUCGCUGUGGAGGAGCUCGGUCCGUCGGAGUACGCGAGGGCGGUCGAGAGACCGCUCGUACGAGCGUUGUAGGUCUUCUUUCUCCUACUGACGACCCGCCCCAAGUUACUCUGCGAUUUCUCCAACCUGCUCGAAGUUUUUUUCUUCUUUGGUUCACAGAAAGUCGUC